rnacentral:rRNA from 1 species
GAUGAACGCUGGCGGCGUGCCUAACACAUGCAAGUCGAACGAACGGACCAUAAGCUUGUUUCUUUCUUGUUUGCGGCGGACGGGUGUGUAACACGUGUAUCACCUACCUAUAUUUCUGGGAUAAUUUCGGAAAACCGGAGCUUAUACCAGAUAAUAUUUUGAUCCGCAUGGUUCAAAAGUGAAUUACGGUCUUGCUGUCACUUCUCGAUGGUUCCGUGCUGCAUUAGCUAGUUGGUAAGGUAACGGCCUACCAAGGCAACGAUGCAUAGCCGACGUGAGAGGAUGAUCGGCGACACGGGAACUGGAACACGGUCCUGACGCCUACGGGAGGCAGCAGUAGGGAAUGUUAGGCAGUGGGCGAAAGCCUGACGCAGCAACGCCGCGUGAGUGAAGAAGGUCUUCGGAUCGUAAAGCUCUGUUAUUGGGGAAGAACAGAUGUGGAAUUAAAUGAGGAGAUAGUGACGGUAACUAAUAAAGAAGCAACGGCUAACUACGUG